GGGGAGUGGAUCUUUGAGGCUGGACACAGGCAUGGAGCCACUCCUGAGCUGCAGAGAAAGAUGAGGCAGGUGGAAGACACUUUGGAUGCACUGAAUGAGGAGUUCUUCCAGCUCAGCGUUCAAGCCCUGGAGCUCCAGAAAGAGGAGGACAGGCCAAACCCACUGCCUCCAGGUGAAGGUGGCAUGCUUGUGGUGGCUCCCAGCAUCUUCCCUUGUGAGAGGCAGGAAGAAAGACCUAACCCACUGGAGGCAGGUGGCCCAGGUGGGGAGAAGCUGGGAAUCUGGGCCCUGAAGAGUGACAAGGCUCUAGAGCUGGAAAUGAGGAGAGUCCACCUGGCCCAGAGGAUUGAGGACCUGGAGUGGGAGCUGUCCCUGCUCCUCCAAGUGGCUUCUGGCAGCUCAAGUACAGGAGGGAGUUGGUUCAGCCAACACACCAGCACAGGGAGCACUGAGACACACAGGCUACUGCAGUGGUCACCUGUGGGAGGUGCCUUCUCCACUGAGAACACAGCCAGGUUCCCCUGGUAGGAACGAAUGGGAACCUGAGCUCAGAAUGUGUGCUGAGUUUAUGAUAUGCUCCUGCAGGGAAUACUCAGAUUUCUUUCAGAGCCUGGACCUCAGCUUGUGCUGCAUUCUGUCUUUGAUCCUUUGGGGUGAGGGAAAAUAAAGUCACAUGGGUUGACAAAAUUAACGUGGACUCCCAUCGCUGAGUCUGACCCUCAGUCCUCUCACUCAAUUGUGG
rnacentral:lncRNA from 1 species